AGCGAGAUAGAGGAGCUUGGUCGUCCUCGCUGGGCUCAUAACCCGGAGAUCGCAGGUUCAAAUCCUGCUCUCGCAA
rnacentral:tRNA from 1 species